rnacentral:rRNA from 1 species
UACGUAGGGGGCAAGCGUUGUCCGGAAUCAUUGGGCGUAGAGCGCGUGUAGGCGGUCCGGUAAGUCCGCUGUGAAAGUCGGGGGCUCAACCCUCGGAUGCCGGUGGAUACUGUCGGGCUUGAGUACGGAAGAGGCGAGUGGAAUUCCUGGUGUAGCGGUGAAAUGCGCAGAUAUCAGGAGGAACACCAAUUGCGAAGGCAGCUCGCUGGGACGUUACUGACGCUGAGACGCGAAAGCGUGGGGAGCAAACAGG